GCGACGGUGGUGCAACGGUUAGCAUACCUCCCGGAAAGGCUGAGAUCUGGGUUGAAAUCCCGGCGGACGCA